CACGGACCAGGAACACCUGCAAUAGAAGGCUAGUUUGGUGUCCACGGUAACCAGCCCUCUCCCUUGUAAAGCUGGCCAAGGUUGCCUCCAUGGCUCUGGCCCUUGGAUUGUGCCCUGGCAAGGCAGGUUUGGUUUGGGAGCAUGUCUGGUGGCUCCAGACCAGAAUUGCCCUAGGAAAGGGGUCAUUGGAGCUGGGGUCCUCCCCACCAAUGCCCCCUGGGGCCCAGGGUUGGAAGGGCCCUGCUCCAGCUGCUUUACCCAGUGUAGCUUUUGGCGAUGGCUCCGCGUCAGUAAUAAAAAGUGCCUCAGCUCUGUCUCACAGAUGAACCGUGCUCCAUUGUCUGGUCCCUGCCCCUCCUGAGCCACUUCCCACUAGACGCCAGGAGCUGCGGUGCGCAUGCGUCGUUUCACUGCACCCACCAGCUGCACAGAUGUCGCCAGAUUCUUCUCACAAGGUGGAUCAGUUCACAAUCUGACCUCGGUGCCGGUUUCCUUAUACUUCUGCCACCUCAGGGUCUCAACA